ACUGAACAUGACUUGAAGAAAUAAUGAAUCACAUGGAUGAUUUACUUAACUCAAUGAUUCAUUAUUAAGUUAUGAUGGUGUAACUAAUCCUUAAACCUCAGGUGACAGAGUUGUCUCAUGAAUAUGUAAUUGGAAUUUGCUUAUGCUUUAGGUACCCGUUCAUACCUAGAAUGGGUACUUGCAGAUAGUGGCUCCAUUUGUAUAUGCAUGGAGGUAGGUGUUCGUCAACAAGGAAUCCAUUGCCUUGAGU
rnacentral:lncRNA from 1 species